AAAAUACCUUUCUGUUCUUUGAGGGUUCCUAGCCUUGUGAUUUGGAAUCAGAAUGAUCUGGAGGAGAGUCUGCCACUUGAUAACAGUGGUUUGAAGGAGAAGUUCUGCAGUGCUCUAAUGACAGCAAGUUUUAUGUUUGUGAGAGCAAACCUCAUGCCAAUGCAGUUUCGGGGUCCAGCUCCAAAAGCCACAGGAGGUGGAAGUGCCAAGAUGGAGGAAACACAGAAGUCCUCUACUCCAGAAAACAGAGAAAUUGGUCAAUUCUGACUUGCUCUUCCAACAAGUAUUAUGUACAGAGUCUGUGCCAGCAGUAGAGACAGCAUGCCUAACAAGACAAGGUCCCUGCCAUUGGGAAGUUUAUAGUUAGGGGCCAAUAAAAGUCUAGAUCCCAGGCCUCACCAGCCAGUGCCCUACAAAGUUCAUUCCAAAUUUUCCUUUCCAAAAUGGGAAAAUAUCAACUAUUUCCAGAGUGCAAAUUGUGCCCAAAGCUUGACCUUGGCUCUGAAUUCCCAGAAUAUCAUGCCCAACACUUCCAAGGAAGAACUUCUGAGAAGUCUAGAAAGCAGGUGACUUUGCUUUGGAAGAGUCAUCAACAACUGAGAGUACAAGGGAGCCGGCACAGGACUGCAGACACAAACAGGACCAGGAGAACCUCUGCUUCCCUCUGUCCUCAAUGAAGUGGCUUAAACCAUCAGGGAUGAGGAUGUCUCAGGAUCUCAGCCUGCACUUUCACAGUUACAUUACGGAAAACAGCAAGCAAUGUUGAAAGAAAAAGGAAUGUGGAAACAUGUCCUAAACGUGGUGCUAAAUUCAGAGAGCUAAAGGGCACAGCAAAGAAAAACUGAAAUGAAUAACAAGCUUAUAUACUCAAAAUAACAUUAUGGUGAAAUGAAUUAUAGCUUAUGCAUAUAGAAAUAUGUAGUAACGUAAGAUAGUAGAUAGGUAAUGGUUUACUUUGAAAUGAAGUAAGCAGCAGUUCAAACUCAAAUAAAAUGUGAUAGUAUACUAGUUUUUAAAAAUGUCUAUGCAUAGAAAAAUGCCUACAAGACAGGCAUUACAUAGUUAAUGAGGGUUGUUAUAAGGUGUUUCUUAAUCUAUGGUUUGUAAAGUUUAACAGUUAUCAUUUUGUAAUAAAAAACUUCCAAAAUGAAAAGGCACAUAUUCAAAUGAUUGCCAUGUGCAUCGAGAGAGGCAGAAUAUACUUGAAUCAGGCUGGUUGAGGGAAGGCUCCU
rnacentral:lncRNA from 10 species